GGAAUGAGAUGGGGUCUGGUGGCCCUCCCGGUCUUCAAAACCGAAGUGAGCUUAAAUAGCUUUGGCAGGUUCGAUUCCUGCCUCUUCCGCCA
rnacentral:tRNA from 1 species